UCAUCUGGAAGGUUGUCUAUAUUGAUAGUCAGAGUGUGUCCUCAACCGUGAACGUAUGCUCGUCCAUGAGCUUGAUUGGGAAUGCACGCUCCUCUGUGUGCUAAGAUGAGAGUAUACGCUAUCCCAAGGACCCAGGCGGGAGCGUAAACUGCCAGAACGCUUGGAGCGUGACUGGUUAAUGGGCUGUUUACCAAGAUACUGGUGGAGAGGUUCGUCUGCCUUUGUCCUACUUCAGGACACCUCGUCUGGGGAACAUUGGAUCUUGGUGCGUUGCAAGAGUUGAUUCACCAAGGUUGUCUGUUAUGCAAGGGCGCUCGUCAACUCUAUGACUUGUCGAGACAAGUGUUGUUCGCCAUUUGGAUUGGAAGAGCUUGGAAGGAAUGUGCCUCCUUGAGCAGUGGAAGUUUGGUAGACUCUUGGUGCAAGAUUUGAAUUGGGAAAUGUCAAAUCCACGAAGAAAUAUGGUGAAAAUGCCCCCGGCUCGAUGGUUGCUCCGAAUAG
rnacentral:lncRNA from 1 species